UUUGUCUCAAGAGUCCGAACCCAUCACGUGAGAGAAUUAGUCAGAGGGACAGAAGCCAAAAGACACACAGAGAGCAAGAAACAGGAAGAGUCAGUCGCCAUCAUUUUGGGGACAGAGUUAACCUCACUGGGGAGGAUACCCCCCCCCCAGUCUGCUUGUGCUGCGCUCUUCAGUGCCCCACCAGAAGAAGCGAAUUCUCAUGUCCCCCACCUCCAUGUAGCAUCAAGCCAAUCUUCAAAUGCCAACACCUUCUGGUUCCAGCUUGGAGCUUUGGACAUGGGUUACGUUGCCACUGCCUACUUAUGAAAAAUCUCGGUUAUGACACCUUUUUGCGCCCAUCAAACCAGUGUUUGGCACAGGGCCUGGUAUAUGCUUGGAGACCAGUGAAAACAUACACAAAUACCCUCUGCCUAUGUCAGGUUGAACGCCUGAGGCCUUGGGUGGAAACCACUGAGUUCUGACUCUAAAACCACCUGCUUAGUAACUGUGGGCACGAAACUCCGUCUUCCUGGUCUCUGUUUGCUCCCUUGUAGAUGAGAGGGUGAGAGUUGCUUCUCUGGCUUGUUGUGAGGUUCAGAACAGCAGAUGUGUGAAAGUCUAUACAUAACAAGCCCUCUGAGACAUGAACCGCACUGCGUGGGAAGAAGCUGAGCUUGGUGUGGAAGUUGCAUAUUUUAACCUCUUCCAAGAAGAAAUCAAAUGCAUCUCAGGAUACAAGGUUCGUUCUGACAGAAAGGCAGACAUUUAAGAAAAUGACUCAGUGGGUAAGAAUACUUCCCGUGUCAUCAUGAGAACCAGAGUUCAGAUUCCCCAGGGCCGCUCACACUUAAAAAAUAAAAAAAUCAAGUGUGGGCACACUCAGUUGUAGCACUGGGACUGGGGAGGAGCGAUACAGCAGGAUUGCUGGAGGUUAUUGGUCACCAGGCUAGCAAAACAAACGAACGAACAGCAGCUACAACAGAUGCCUAAAAUAUAGAUCAAGCAAUUGCUGGUAUUGGCUUGUUCUUGACUUUCACGCACAAAACUAUACACGAAUGAAGAAGAAAGAUGCUAUGAUGAGAACAGUUUUGUUUCCAACUUAGUUUGUGCAAAUACAAACUUUGGAUUCGUGUAUGUAACAAAAUGCUGACCGAAACUGACUUGAAUAUGAGAUUUAUCGACUUGUGAAAUAAAUGGGUGUGUAGCAGUCCACGCUUCAGUCAUGAGGUGAUCCAGGGAUUCCAGUGCAUUCCUCGGGACUUCUUUCUGUCCAUCUCUUGGAUCUGCUCUUCUUUGCAUUGGCAUUGCUGAGUCUCUUCAUGAGUGAUAAACGGCUCCCAGGAGCAGCCUUAGGCCUGCAUCUUCACAUCUAACCACCUUCCAAGAAAACAGAGGUUUCUUUCCUUAAUGACUUAGACGUAAGUUCCAGGUCUAAGACUCCUGGGAUUGACUUGGAAUCCCUGCCUGGACAGACACUGUUUUCAAGGCAAUGGGCAUGUGGUUAGCUCUGGCUAUUUCUUUUCUCUGUUGCUUUCUCUAGGGUAGGGGUAGGGUUAAAAGUGGGCUCAGCCUCAUUGGAGCCACGUGGACAGAGGCUCUUCCCUAGAGGAGAACAGAGAGAAUGUUAAGAGCAAUUAGAGAGACUGGAGAGACAGCCCAGCGGCUAAGAGUGUAGUAUGUACUGCUCUUACAGAGAACCCAAGUUCGACUCCCAGCACCCAAGCUGGUUGGCUGACAACCAUCUAUAAAUACAGCUCGGGAGGUCUGAUGUCUCUGGCUUUGGAGGGCGCCUGCGCUCACAUGUAUAGAUCCACUCCAUGCUCUUAUAUACACAGAAUUAAAAAUAAAAAUAAAUCUUUCCAAAAAAAGAAAGAGCAAGUAGAAUGGAGUCUAAGAUUUAUUUAUUUACUUACUUUUGUUUUGUUUUGAGAUAAGUUUUUAUUGCGUAGCUGUGGCUUUCCUGAAACUCAUUCUAGAGACUAGGCUGGCCUUGCUUGAAUUUACAGAGAUCUGAGUACCUCUGACUCCCAAGUGCUGGGAUUAAAGGCAUGGGCCACUACUACACAGCUAUUUUUUUUUUUUAAUGUUCACAUCCCUUGUUUAUUUUGAUUUAAUCCUCUACCUUGUCUAUGAGUCGUGAUAUCCCGUCCGUGCUUGAUUCAUUCCACUUGUAAACUUUGAGCUUUCUGGUUGGGUUAUUGAGUUUUUCAGCUACGUCUUCAUCUUAGUCUGAUUCCCUUCAGUAUUUCUCCUUAUUGAAUUCCAUUUUUAAGUUCUUGAUUGUCUCUGCCAUUUCCAUCAGCCUUCUACUUGUGUGUGUUUUCUUGAGUCUCCUUCAGGAAUUUAUUCUCUUUAUGUCCUUUCUCCUUAAUUUCAUUGAGCUGUUUCUUUGUGUCUCCUUUAAACUCCUUGAAUUCGUUGAUGACGUUUGUGAUUGUUCCUUUAAAUUCUGUGUCCUGGCCAUGUAGACUUCUUUUGUUAGUUCUGAGUCUGUUAUGGACAGAGCAGGUUGGGGCAGAAGGGAGAAUGAAUGAGUGGGUUGGGCUUAGAUGGAAUAAAACUGGUAGACAGAGGAGACUGGGCUGGUAUAACAGGAUAAGAGUCCUGGUACAAGCCUGGAGUGUGGGGAUAGAUCUUGCUGGGUGGAAAGAUUGGAGGUUGUAUGGGAGGGUUAGGCAGAGUGGGUCUUGGCAGAAUCCUAGUAGGUGUAGGUGCAACCAGGGGUGGCUAUACUCGGUCAGGAGAUGUGGUGUGGGUGACUGUGGAGGCCAGAAGAAGGUGUUGGAUUACCUGGAG